rnacentral:rRNA from 1 species
CCUACGGGUGAGCAGCAGUGGGGAAUAUUGGACAAUGGGCGAAAGCCUGAUCCAGCCAUGCCGCGUGUGUGAAGAAGGCCUUCGGGUUGUAAAGCACUUUCAGUGGGGAAGAAAGCCUUGGGGCUAAUACCCUCGAGGAAGGACAUCACCCACAGAAGAAGCACCGGCUAACUCCGUGCCAGCAGCCGCGGUAAUACGGAGGGUGCGAGCGUUAAUCGGAAUUACUGGGCGUAAAGCGCGCGUAGGCGGUCUGAUAAGCCGGUUGUGAAAGCCCCGGGCUCAACCUGGGAACGGCAUCCGGAACUGUCAGGCUAGAGUGCAGGAGAGGAAGGUAGAAUUCCCGGUGUAGCGGUGAAAUGCGUAGAGAUCGGGAGGAAUACCAGUGGCGAAGGCGGCCUUCUGGACUGACACUGACGCUGAGGUGCGAAAGCGUGGGUAGCAAACAGGAUUAGAUACCCUGGUAGUC